UACGGAGGGUGCAAGCGUUGUCCGGAAUUAUUGGGCGUAAAGAGCUCGUAGGCGGUUUGUCGCGUCUGCCGUGAAAGUCCGGGGCUUAACUUCGGAUCUGCGGUGGGUACGGGCAGACUAGAGUGCAGUAGGGGAGACUGGAAUUCCUGGUGUAGCGGUGAAAUGCGCAGAUAUCAGGAGGAACACCGAUGGCGAAGGCAGGUCUCUGGGCUGUAACUGACGCUGAGGAGCGAAAGCAUGGGGAGCAAACAGG
rnacentral:rRNA from 1 species